rfam:Ictidomys tridecemlineatus contig046143, whole genome shotgun sequence.
GGGGUUGUAGCUCAGCGGUAGAGCACUCACCUAGCAUGUGUGAGGCCCUGGGUUCGAUCCUCAGCACCA